rnacentral:rRNA from 1 species
CACGUAGGGUGCGAGCGUUGUCCGGAAUUACUGGGCGUAAAGAGCUCGUAGGUGGUUUGUCGCGUUGUUCGUGAAAACCGGGGGCUUAACCCUCGGCGUGCGGGCGAUACGGGCAGACUUGAGUACUGCAGGGGAGACUGGAAUUCCUGGUGUAGCGGUGGAAUGCGCAGAUAUCAGGAGGAACACCGGUGGCGAAGGCGGGUCUCUGGGCAGUAACUGACGCUGAGGAGCGAAAGCGUGGGGAGCGAACAGG